rnacentral:misc_RNA from 1 species
CCGCGUUCGUUCCAGCCGAUGAACAUCAACUUCGGACUGUUUCCGCCGCUGGCUUCGCCGCCGACCAAGAAGCCGGACGGCACGCGGCUGCGCGGCAAUGAAAAGACGGUCGCGAAGAAGCAGGCGAUCAGCGCACGUGCAUUAUCGGAUCUCGAUCGGUGGAUUGCCGAUCACCGCAAUGUGGCGGAUGCGGCGUAGGUUCCUGUCGACAGCACAAAGCCGUUAUCGCGCGGCGAAGCCGGUGACCGCAGACACCACCUG